CAUGUUCAUGACAGGUGUUAUGUCAUGUUUAUGACAGUGUCAUGACAGUCUUAUUCACCCCCCUUCAAAUAAAGUGUUACCUUUUUGGAGACAUGUUCUGUUCUCUGAUCCAACUGUGUCCAAGUGUUUUGCCAUUGUUACAUUCUCUUGGAAACCUGAGAACAGCAUCCCAAAAUAGUGCCAGCUCUAUGUUGAGCUUUACAUUUCUCAAUACUCGACUAAAAGCCAGUCAAAAAAAAUACUGUGACUGUUUAGUUUAGCAUCUUCUAGUCACAAAGAUGUGAAAGAUGGGCUGAGCUCAGGCACAUCCCGAAAAAUAACAACGUGAGGGAACAAUAUGAUGAGGAAUUAUUAAAGUGACUUCUCAAACAUCAGCCCAAAAGUUUAAGCUUUGGGCAAAUAGAGCAAAAUCCUUACAUGGGACAACAAAGUUGUGAUAAUCACAAAGCUCUAAUCUCAACUGAUGAUGGAUUAUUUCCUUUUCUGUUCCUCAAAAAGGGGGAGAUGUUGUGUACAGUUAUCUUUAUGUGUAACAUAUUAACCAAUGUGUAUGUGGAAGUUGUGAUGUGAAGUAAAGUACACGUUAACCUCACCUGCCUCAUUCUUGUCAUACUAACAAAACAGAUUCUACUAGCGUUGACCCUGUAUAUAAAUGUAGGAGUUUGCCUUAUAACCUGUGGGAGGGACGACACAGGAGUGACCCCUGCUCUGUCCUUCUCAGUCAUGUGUCCUUGGAUAAGACUUUCCUCGUCUACUUGUAGUGUCCUCUCGCACAUUUUGGAGAAUUGCAAGGCACAAGCCCAACCUGAGUUGUGCCUGAAGCUGGGAUUGAGAUUGGGCCUGGGCAUAAAACCAACCCGGCUGGUUUGGAGUCCUUCUCAGCUGUAUGGAAAUAAAUGAUUUCAACUGUUUGUGUCUCUAGAGAGCUCUGGUACUUUGGGAUUUCUGAACAAUUCUGUCUUGCUUGACCUUCUAUGCUAAUUUUGUGUGGCACAAAGAGGAAUAUCAAGCUAUUUUGAAAGCAUUCUAAAAACAGAGUGAAAAAAUGAAUAUCUACCUCAUUUCUGUACAUCAGAUAAAGAUUUUAGAGUCCUUAAAAUCUUGAUAUCUUACCUCUUGGUUAUGUCUUACUGAUUGCUAUUAGUGAUCAUCUAAUUUUCUUAAACCUGAUCAUUUCUUUGUUAAAUCAUUUUUGUGGCAUUGUGCACAAAUACUAAAUACCAAAUUCUAUCAAAUAUUAGAAGAGGAAACACUCUCCACUUCAGUUGGUCACUAUGACAUGAAUCUACAUCUGUGUUAGCUUCUUUGUUGCUCAAUGCCAGGUUAACUGACAUGCUGUUUUUUCACAUUGUGAAUGUACC